rnacentral:rRNA from 1 species
GACGAACGCUGGCGGCGUGCUUAACACAUGCAAGUCGAACGGAAAGGCCCUGCUUUUGUGGGGUGCUCGAGUGGCGAACGGGUGAGUAACACGUGAGUAACCUGCCCUUGACUUUGGGAUAACUUCAGGAAACUGGGGCUAAUACCGGAUAGGAGCUCCUGCUGCACGGUGGGGGUUGGAAAGUUUCGGCGGUUGGGGAUGGACUCGCGGCUUAUCAGCUUGUUGGUGGGUAGUGGCUUACCAAGGCUUUGACGGGUAGCCGGCCUGAGAGGGUGACCGGCCACAUUGGGACUGAGAUACGGCCCAGACUCCUACGGGAGGCAGCAGUGGGGAAUAUUGCACAAUGGGCGGAAGCCUGAUGCAGCAACGCCGCGUGCGGGAUGACGGCCUUCGGGUUGUAAACCGCUUUCGCCUGUGACGAAGCGUGAGUGACGGUAAUGGGUAAAGAAGCACCGGCUAACUACGUG